rnacentral:rRNA from 1 species
CAGUCGACGGUGAUGAGGAGCUUGCUUCUCUGAUCAGUGGCGAACGGGUGAGUAACACGUGAGCAAUCUGCCCUUGACUCUGGGAUAACUGCGGGAAACUGUAGCUAAUACCGGAUACGACCUGAAGAGGCAUCUUUUUGGGUGGAAAGAAUUUUGGUCAAGGAUGAGCUCGCGGCCUAUCAGCUUGUUGGUGAGGUAAUGGCUCACCAAGGCGACGACGGGUAGCCGGCCUGAGAGGGUGACCGGCCACACUGGGACUGAGACACGGCCCAGACUCCUACGGGAGGCAGCAGUGGGGAAUAUUGCACAAUGGGCGCAAGCCUGAUGCAGCAACGCCGCGUGAGGGACGAAGGCCUUCGGGUUGUAAACCUCUUUUAGUAGGGAAGAAGCGACUGGGUUUUCCUGGGAGUGACGGUACCUGCAGAAAAAGCACCGGCUAACUACGUGCCAGCAGCCGCGGUAAUACGUAGGGUGCAAGCGUUGUCCGGAAUUAUUGGGCGUAAAGAGCUCGUAGGCGGUUUGUCGCGUCUGCUGUGAAAACCCGAGGCUCAACCUCGGGCCUGCAGUGGGUACGGGCAGACUAGAGUGCGGUAGGGGAGAUUGGAAUUCCUGGUGUAGCGGUGGAAUGCGCAGAUAUCAGGAGGAACACCAAUGGCGAAGGCAGAUCUCUGGGCCGUAACUGACGCUGAGGAGCGAAAGCAUGGGGAGC